CAAGAAAUUGCAAUAAAAUAGUCUGCCUAAGAAAAAUUUGAAUUUUUUUGAAAAUUUUUUUUGACGAAAAUCGCUUUAAUGGUCAUAAAAUUGGUGUUCCUCUACUCGGAUCAGGCUGUCAAUUUUUUUCUACACUUUUAGGUGUAUUUUGUGCAAGAAAUUGCAAUAAAAUAGUCUGCCUAAGAAAAAUUGAAUUUUUUUGAAAAUUUUUUUUUGACGAAAAUCGCUUUAAUGGUCAUAAAAUUGGUGUUCCUCUACUCGGAUCGGGCUGUUAAUUUUUUUCUACACUUUUAGGUGUAUUUUGUGCAAGAAAUUGCAAUAAAAUAGUCUGCCUAAGAAAAAUUGAAUUUUUUUGAAAAUUUUUUUUUGACGAAAAUCGCUUUAAUGGUCAUAAAAUUGGUGUUCCUCUACUCGGAUCGGGCUGUUAAUUUUUUUCUACACUUUUAGGUGUAUUUUGUGCAAGAAAUUGCAAUAAAAUAGUCUGCCUAAGAAAAAUUGAAUUUUUUUGAAAAUUUUUUUUUGACGAAAAUCGCUUUAAUGGUCAUAAAAUUGGUGUUCCUCUACUCGGAUCGGGCUGUUAAUUUUUUUCUACA